rfam:Triticum aestivum genome assembly, contig: Triticum_aestivum_CS42_TGACv1_scaffold_374478_5AL
UGUGUACUCCCUCUGUCGGGAAAUACUUGUCAUCAAAAUGGAUAGAAGGGGAUGUAUCUAGACAUAUUUUAAUUUCAGAUACAUCUUUUUUUAUUCAUUUUAAUGACAAGUAUUUUCGAACGGAAGGAGUAUUAU